rnacentral:rRNA from 1 species
GUGUCAGCCGCCGCGGUAAGACAGAGGGUGCAAACGUUGUUCGGAAUUACUGGGCGUAAAGCGCGUGUAGGCAGCUUGGCAAGUCGGGUGUGAAAGCCCUGGGCUCAACCUAGGAAGUGCACUCGAAACUGCUUCGCUUGAGUAUCGGAGAGGAAAGCGGAAUUCUCGGUGUAGAGGUGAAAUUCGUAGAUAUCGAGAGGAACACCAGUGGCGAAGGCGGCUUUCUGGACGAUCACUGACGCUGAGACGCGAAAGCGUGGGGAGCAAACAGGAUUAGAUACCCCUGUAGUCC